CAGUGAAAGAGAAGGUGGAACGGGGACAGCGGCGGCUGGGCUCUCGUCGGCGUGGAAGGUGUCUGGCUCUCCCCUCCGCCUCCGGCCCUCUCGGCCUCUCCUCGGCCUCCGGCGUCCCCGGUCCCUCGAUCCUUUAUUCAAAAAAAAACGCCUACAUCUUAUCCAGAUGCUGUCGGCCCUUGACCUGCCGUCCGUGCGGCACGGCGGCGUCCUUGUCGGCGGCGGAGACGGCAUCCUUGUCGGCGGCAGAGACGGCUACGGAUGCAGAGGAGGAUGAGAAGGCGUCCGCCGUGCCUUGCGCGGGAGGACGGAGGACGCCUCGCCUGGGCGUGUGCUCGGUGAGGGGCGGCGCCCUUGCCGGCGUUGCCGGCGGCGGAGACGGCUUCUGCUGCGCGGCGGGCUGGAGCAUGGGGGGUAGUUGUCGGGCAACAUGAGGAGGCAGAGGCGGCCAAGGCAAUGAGGCACGGCGUCGGCUAGCCAAGGGGCGGCCGGAGCAGAGGACGUCCACUUCCCCAGUCUGCGCACUCAUCGCGGCAAGAAAUCAGUGGAGUGCCCGACCCGGAUUGAAUUUCGCUGCUAUAAGAAGGAAGGGUCCUUGGCCGGAAUCUCCAUCAGGUUGCGUACUUGGACCAGAAAAUCCAUCAAAUCCCGGAGUACUUGGACCAGAAAAGCAUCGUGUCGCCUUCAAGUUCGCCGGAGGAAGAAGUGCCGAGUUUGCCGGAGGUAGAAGAACAUCCGUCGAGCCGUCCAAUAUCGCCAACGGCGGGCUACACCAGAGGUUUUUUUCGUGACUAAUAAUAAGGAUUGGAUGAAGCAAAUCAGACACACUUCUAAGGGCCUGGAUUGCAAACUCAAUACUCCAGCGACUUCACCUUUGUGGACCUUGACUCGACUCUGGCCACCAGCGAGAAGUGAAGGCACAAGGCAGUGGACAAGGAUAGGAAAUCAAGCAUCUGCUUUGCUCUGUUUGCCUGUCAUCGUUAUUGCCUGUAGCUAGCUUUCAUCUGCUAUGCUCUGUUUUCUGAACUCUAAAUACUUGCAUGUAGCUUCCUCUGCUUCUGCUAUGUUUUCUGAACUCUUGUAUACUUGGUUGUAGCUUUAGGUCAGUUUCAGGCGUCAGGUCGACUCCGCUCGGGGCCUGAAAAUCAUCCGCCUUCCGACCACAGGACGGGCGGAUGCUGCCACCUCACGUUCAUGUCGGCUGCUGUCUAUCCCCUCUUUCUUUUUAGCAAGCAAUACACACUAGACUGUAUGAUAUUUAAAUUCUGCAAACGGCCUCGGAUUGAGAUGAUUCAAAAGGCAAAAUAGUUCGCUGCGACGAGGGGAGGAAUUUCCAUGUUAAACACUUCUUCAUUUGAGAUAGUUUUGAGGACUUGAUCAUACAUGCCAAAAAGUGGUGUCAAUACGGUCCCGCAUUGAAGAUCCCUUACAUGCUCGUGCAUGUUACUAUACAAUGUAUAUCCGUCUUUAUAUCGGAUUGCUCAACGUCGUGAGGUGUUCGUGGCAACAGUAUUUCACUCU